UACGUAGGGGGCAAGCGUUGUCCGGAAUCAUUGGGCGUAAAGGGCGCGCAGGCGGCCUGAUUAGUCGUGGGUGAAAUCGUUCGGCUCAACCGAGCGGGGUCCUGCGAAACGGUCGGGCUGGAGCAAGGCAGGGGGUCGUGGAAUUCCCGGUGUAGUGGUGGAAUGCGUAGAGAUCGGGAGGAACACCAGUGGCGAAGGCGGCGACCUGGGCCUGUGCUGACGCUGAGGCGCGAAAGCGUGGGGAGCGAUCCGG
rnacentral:rRNA from 1 species